GACGAACGCUGGCGGCGUGCCUAAUACAUGCAAGUCGAACGCAGUGGGGACGGGGGAUUAACACGUGGGUAACCUCCCAUCAGAGGGGAGAAAACUUGGAAACAGCUGCUAAACCGACAUGGAUGGAUGGAGCCGCGUUGCAUUAGCUAGUUGGUGAGGUAACGGCUCACCAAGGCCACGAUGCAUAGCGGUCCUGAGAGGAUGAGCGGCCACACUGGGACUGAGACACGGCCCAGACGCCUACGGGAGGCAGCAGUGGGGAAUAUUGGGCAAUGGACGAAAGUCUGACCGAGCAACGCCGCGUGAGUGAAGAAGGUCUUCGGAUCGUAAAACUCUGUUGUUAGAGAGGCGGUACCUAAACAGGAAGCACCGGCUAACUACGUGCCAGCAGCCGCGGUAAUAC
rnacentral:rRNA from 1 species